rnacentral:lncRNA from 1 species
CUUCUUUCAGUUGAAUGAAUUAAAAAUGAAGUGCCCCGAGGGUUAGGCUGAUCCUGUUUUAGGAAUUCUGUUAAAAGCAACAGAAAACAGCCUAAGACAGUCUACAAGUAUCUAUCUGAUUGCAGCCUUAUUUGAAAAUUUUAUUCCUAACAGGCCACAGCCUGGUACCCGUCCAUGGCCUGGGGGUUGGGGAUCCUUAUGCUAGAAGACAACAAGUGGAAGAAAUAAAGCAAAAUAAGACAGCCUGGAUGGGAAGAGAUGGGUUCAAGAUGCAAUUUAAAUAGGGUGGUUGGAGUAAGUCUCACUGAGGAAUCGUGAGCAAUCACUUAUUUUCCAGGCAGCUUCUUUUUUUUUAAGCUGCCACAAGUCGACUGUCAUUAUUACUGCUAUAGUUAAACUGUCAUUAUUGCAAAUGUCAAGG